rnacentral:misc_RNA from 1 species
GUAGGUGAACCUGCGGAAGGAUCAUUCAUAAUAAGUGUUUUAUGGCACUUUUUAAAUCCAUAUCCACCUUGUGUGCAAUGUCGGCCGAUCUUUCUUUUUUGGAAGAUCAGCCAAACAUCAACUUAUUUUUUUAACUCUUUGUCUGAAAAAUAUUAUGAAUAAACAAUUCAAAAUACAACUUUCAACAACGGAUCUCUUGGCUCUC